AAAAAGAUCAUGAAGCUGAAUCCACAACUUCUCUAAAGGACAACCCGCAACAUACAGCAGGAGUCACAAAGAGACAAACGAGGAGUCCUGUGACGGACGGUGCUGCAGGUGCUUCAUGAUGCUGAUCUCAACAUCAUUGAGUCAGGCUGGGAUCACGUGAUAAAACAGGAGACAUUAGACAUAUUAAUGUAAUGGACAUUAUAAGAUCUAAAUGUUUUACCUGAAUAUGCUCAGUGAGUUCAGAUGAAAUAGCCUGAAUCAGUAUUGAGCUCUGCUAGGAAAGUUUGCUUCGGUGUAAUUCCGGGAAAAUGUUUGUGUGCUGUGAGUUUGAUGAACCGGUGAACUGUUUGAUCAAAUACGCAAAGUCUGUACACUUAGGAAAGAGAGAUCAUGACCACCUCUUCCACCAUGCAGCAGGUUGCAGGACACGUGAUCACGGAUCGAUGGUGACAUGACUGAGGACAGCUGCGUGUUCCUGACUCUUUGUAUUAGCCAGCUCAUCAUAAGAGUCAUUUGUCAGAUUCUUGAUGAAUGCAGUGGCUUUGAGAACUAUCUCCCUAUAUGGCCAAAUGGUAACACUAUAACUUUGUUUGUGUUCAAUAUACCCAUUCUAAUUUUGCUUUGAUUAGUAUUAAAUACCUUGAUUUCAA